ACGGGUGAGUAACACGUGAGCAACCUGCCCCGAACUCUGGGAUAAGCGCUGGAAACGGCGUCUAAUACUGGAUAUGCACCAGGAAGGCAUCUUCUCUGGUGGGAAAGAUUUUUUGGUUCGGGAUGGGCUCGCGGCCUAUCAGCUUGUUGGUGAGGUAAUGGCUCACCAAGGCGUCGACGGGUAGCCGGCCUGAGAGGGUGACCGGCCACACUGGGACUGAGACACGGCCCAGACUCCUACGGGAGGCAGCAGUGGGGAAUAUUGCACAAUGGGCGGAAGCCUGAUGCAGCAACGCCGCGUGAGGGACGACGGCCUUCGGGUUGUAAACCUCUUUUAGCAGGGAAGAAGCGAAAGUGACGGUACCUGCAGAAAAAGCGCCGGCUAACUACGUGCCAGCAGCCGCGGUAAUACGUAGGGCGCAAGCGUUAUCCGGAAUUAUUGGGCGUAAAGAGCUCGUAGGCGGUCUGUCGCGUCUGCUGUGAAAACCCGAGGCUCAACCUCGGGCCUGCAGUGGGUACGGGCAGACUAGAGUGCGGUAGGGGAGAUUGGAAUUCCUGGUGUAGCGGUGGAAUGCGCAGAUAUCAGGAGGAACACCGAUGGCGAAGGCAGAUCUCUGGGCCGUAACUGACGCUGAGGAGCGAAAGGGUGGGGAGCAAACAGGCUUAGAUACCCUGGUAGUCCACCCCGUAAACGUUGGGAACUAGUUGUGGGGGCCUUUCCACGGUCUCCGUGACGCAGCUAACGCAUUAAGUUCCCCGCCUGGGGAGUACGGCCGCAAGGCUAAAACUCAAGGAAUUGACGGGGACCCGCACAAGCGGCGGAGCAUGCGGAUUAAUUCGAUGCAACGCGAAGAACCUUACCAAGGCUUGACAUAUUCGAGAACGCUGCAGAAAUGCAGAACUCUUUGGACACUCGUAUACAGGUGGUGCAUGGUUGUCGUCAGCUCGUGUCGUGAGAUGUUGGGUUAAGUCCCGCAACGAGCGCAACCCUCGUUCUAUGUUGCCAGCACGUAAUGGUGGGAACUCAUGGGAUACUGCCGGGGUCAACUCGGAGGAAGGUGGGGAUGACGUCAAAUCAUCAUGCCCCUUAUGUCUUGGGCUUCACGCAUGCUACAAUGGCCGGUACAAAGGGCUGCAAUACCGCGAGGUGGAGCGAAUCCCAAAAAGCCGGUCCCAGUUCGGAUUGAGGUCUGCAACUCGACCUCAUGAAGUCGGAGUCGCUAGUAAUCGCAGAUCAGCAACGCUGCGGUGAAUACGUUCCC
rnacentral:rRNA from 1 species